AGAGUUUGAUCAUGGCUCAGAACGAACGCUGGCGGCAUGCCUAACACAUGCAAGUCGAACGAGACCUUCGGGUCUAGUGGCGCACGGGUGCGUAACGCGUGGGAAUCUGCCCUUGGGUUCGGGAUAACAGUUGGAAACGACUGCUAAUACCGGAUGAUGACUUCGGUCCAAAGAUUUAUCGCCCAGGGAUGAGCCCGCGUAGGAUUAGCUAGUUGGUGAGGUAAAGGCUCACCAAGGCGACGAUCCUUAGCUGGUCUGAGAGGAUGAUCAGCCACACUGGGACUGAGACACGGCCCAGACUCCUACGGGAGGCAGCAGUGGGGAAUAUUGGACAAUGGGCGAAAGCCUGAUCCAGCAAUGCCGCGUGAGUGAUGAAGGCCUUAGGGUUGUAAAGCUCUUUUACCCGGGAUGAUAAUGACAGUACCGGGAGAAUAAGCCCCGGCUAACUACGUGCCAGCAGCCGCGGUAAUACGUAGGUGGCAAGCGUUGUCCGGAUUUAC
rnacentral:rRNA from 1 species